AUGGGGGUCACUCCCAGCCCCACAAGUGGGGGUCAGCCCCACAAGUGGGGGUCACUCCCAGCCCCACAAGUGGGGGUCAGCCCCACAAGUGGGGGUCACUCCCAGGCCCACACAUGGGGGUCAGCCCCACACAUGGGGGUCAGCCCCACAAGUGGGGGUCACUCCCAGCCCCACACAUGGGGGUCAGCCCCACAAGUGGGGGUCAGCCCCACACAUGGGGGUCAGCCCCACAAGUGGGGGUCACUCCCAGCCCCACAAGUGGGGGUCAGCCCCACACAUGGGGGUCAGCCCCACAAGUGGGGGUCACUCCCAGCCCCACACAUGGGGGUCAGCCCCACACAUGGGGGUCAGCCCCACACUUGGGGGUCAGCCCCACACAUGGGGGUCAGCCCCACAAGUGGGGGUCACUCCCAGCCCCACACAUGGGGGUCAGCCCCACACAUGGGGGUCAGCCCCACACAUGGGGGUCAGCCCCAUACCUGCAGGUCGGGGGGGGGGUCGGUAGCUGCCCCCCAGGGUCUGCAGCACGAACCUGGCCCCAUUCCAGACCUUGUUGCAGAAGUGUCGGUAGCCAAGAACCCGCAAGACAUCCAGGUUGAUGUCCCGGCCUGGGAAUGGGGUAGGGGGGAUAUGGGGUAUGGGGUGUAUGGGGUAUGGGGUAUAUGGGGUAUAUGGGGUAUGGGGUAUGGGGGAUAUGGGGUAUAUGGGGUAUAUGGGGUAUGGGAUAUGGGGUAUAUGGGGUAUGGGGUAUAUGGGGUAUAUGGGGUAUGGGGUAUAUGGGGUAUGGGGUAUAUGGGGUAUGGGAUAUGGGGUAUGGGGUAUAUGGGGUAUGGGGUAUGGGGUAUAUGGGAUAUGGGGUAUAUGGGGUAUGGGGUAUGGGGUAUAUGGGGUAUGGGGUAUAUGGGGUAUGGGAUAUGGGGUAUGGGGUAUGGGGUAUAUGGGGUAUGGGGUGUAUGGGGUAUGGGGUAUGGGGCAUAUGGGGUAUGGGGUAUGGGGGAUAUGGGGUAUGGGGUAUAUGGGGUAUAUGGGGUAUAUGGGGUAUGGGGUAUAUGGGGUAUGGGGUAUAUGGGGUAUGGGGUAUGGGGUAUAUGGGGUAUGGGGUAUAUGGGGUAUGGGGUAUAUGGGGUAUGGGGUAUAUGGGGUAUAUGGGGUAUGGGGUAUAUGGGGUAUGGGGUAUAUGGGGUAUGGGGUAUGGGGUAUAUGGGGUAUGGGGUAUGGGGUAUAUGGGGUAUGGGGUAUAUGGGGUAUGGGGUAUAUGGGGUAUAUGGGGUAUGGGGUAUAUGGGGUAUGGGGUAUAUGGGGUAUGGGGUAUGGGGUAUAUGGGGUAUGGGGUAUAUGGGGUAUGGGGUGUAUGGGGUAUGGGGGAUAUGGGGUAUGGGGUAUAUGGGGUAUGGGAUAUAUGGGGUAUGGGGUAUAUGGGGUAUGGGGUAUAUGGGGUAUAUGGGGUAUGGGGUAUAUGGGGUAUGGGGUAUAUGGGGUAUAUGGGGUAUGGGGUAUAUGGGGUAUGGGGUAUAUGGGGUAUGGGGUACAUGGGGUAUAUGGGGUAUGGGGUAUAUGGGGUAGGGGGUAUAUGGGGUAGGGGGUAUAUGGGGUAUAUGGGGUAUGGGGUAUGGGGUAUAUGGGGUAUGGGGUAUAUGGGGUAUGGGGUAUGGGGUAUGGGGUAUGGGGUAUAUGGGGUAUAUGGGGUAUGGGUUAUAUGGGGUAUGGGGUAUGGGGUAUAUGGGGUAUAUGGGGUAUGGGGUAUGGGGUAUAUGGGGUAUGGGGUAUAUGGGGUAUGGGGUAUAUGGGGUAUGGGGUAUGGGGUAUAUGGGGUAUGGGGUAUGGGGUAUAUGGGGUAUGGGGUAUAUGGGGUAUGGGGUAUAUGGGGUAUGGGGUAUAUGGGAUAUAUGGGGUAUGGGAUAUGGGGAAUGGGGUAUGGGAUAUGGGAUCUAUGGGGCAGGGUCCUACCCUGGGCUGUGUAUGCACACAGAGCAAAGCGCAGAGCAUCCGUCCCACACUCAGGGAUCCCAUUGGGGAAGUCACGUUUCUAUAGGGGGGCCCCAUAGGAAGGGGUCACAAUAGACCCCCCAUCCCCCCCUCCCAGCCCCAUAAGUGCCCCCCCCCCCAGCCCCAUAAGUGCCCCCCCUGC
ensembl:lncRNA